UACGGAGGGUGCAAGCGUUAUCCGGAUUCACUGGGUUUAAAGGGUGCGUAGGCGGAUAGGUAAGUCCGUGGUGAAAUCCUGCAGCUUAACUGCAGAACUGCCAUGGAUACUAUCUAUCUUGAAUGUCGUGGAGGUUAGCGGAAUAUGUCAUGUAGCGGUGAAAUGCUUAGAGAUGACAUAGAACACCCAUUGCGAAGGCAGCUAACUACGCGAUAAUUGACGCUGAUGCACGAAAAGCGUGGGGAUCAAACAGG
rnacentral:rRNA from 1 species